UUCAGAAAAUGUCAAAGGCAAUAAGCAAAGGUGCACAUAAUCCCACCAUCCAGAGACAGUUAGUGUGGGUUUUCUGCCAUACAUUCUUCCAGUAUUUUUUUUCUGUGCUGGAUUUAAUGUGACAUGAUUUUUUAAAUAACAUAGUAUAUGUACCUUCAAACAUUUUUUGAGUUUUUAUUCCAGGAGUUCUUACUGUUCUUCUUAGUGCUUGAGGAUACGAAUAAUAACAACACAGGACAGUUAUUUCAUCCUGGAUCUUGGACAAGUAAAUGUAAAACUGCUUUUUGCUGUUCACCCUCCAAAACUUUAUGCUCAGUUGAAUUUGAGAUUGUAAAGACAUUAUCAUAGCUGCCUCUUUUAGUCUCCUCACUACUCCUCCAGUUUAGAAAUCCAUUCCUGCCACUGACAACAGUUUUCUGAUUUGAUUGUGUAAAAGGUCCCCUUCCAAAGCUAGCGAGCUUGCAUUUUCUUAUGUUAAACCCCUACUCAUUUUAUAAUUAAAAUCAUUUUCUUGACUUCUUCAAGCACUUCCCUUCCUACACAUGUACUUUUUAAAUACAUAUAUAUCAAGAUCUUCUGCUUAGAAUUUAACUCCAAUGGUUUGCAGUUCUGUAAACAGCAGAAACAAGAAUUUACAAUGAAAAGGGAUUUGGCAUUACAACUUGCUGACUCACCCCCUUUCAGGGGUGGAGAGUAUACCACACAUUUCCUGCAAACCUCAGGAAAAAAUAGCACAGCACUCUAAGCCCUGUGGUAGG
rnacentral:lncRNA from 1 species